AGGACUUCCGCAUGGGCGAAAGCCUGACGGAGCAAUGCCGCGUGAGUGAAGAAGGCCUUCGGGUCGUAAAACUCUGUUAUAAGAGAAGAACAAAUUGUAGAGUAACUGCUACAGUCUUGACGGUAUCUUAUCAGAAAGCCACGGCUAACUACGUGCCAGCAGCCGCGGUAAUACGUAGGUGGCAAGCGUUGUCCGGAUUUAUUGGGCGUAAAGGGAGCGCAGGUGGUUUCUUAAGUCUGAUGUGAAAGCCCACGGCUUAACCGUGGAGGGUCAUUGGAAACUGGGAAACUUGAGUACAGAAGAGGAAUGUGGAACUCCAUGUGUAGCGGUGGAAUGCGUAGAUAUAUGGAAGAACACCAGUGGCGAAGGCGACAUUUUGGUCUGUUACUGACACUGAGGCUCGAAAGCGU
rnacentral:rRNA from 1 species